CCUCGAUAGCGUAAAAGUUAACUCAUUUUUUUAUGGACUAGGAACGUUUGCCUACGUUUGCCGCUAGGGGCGCUGUUUCAACUGCAUACAAAUUUGAGUUAACUUUUACGCCAUCGA
rnacentral:pre_miRNA from 9 species